AAACGGAUUUAACCCCUGUCCCAUUUGGGGUUCCGUUACAGAUAGGUAGUGCCUGAAAAAGAUACAACAAUUUUGGUACUAUGUUAUCUUUAGGAUGUUGCUUCUCCCGAACCAAGAGUGUGUAGCUUUAUUCCAUCUAUCUAAUAAUGUUAUAACUUCCCUGAGUAAUGGUGGAAAAUUUAGCGCAUAUAUAUCUGUUAACUUUGGGGAUCUGUAUUCCCAAAUAUUUUAAUGCUGUUGUCCAACUAGUGCCCUUUGAUAAAGUGAAAUAUCACGAAACUAGUCAGGGCGGAUCGAGCGGCACACUGGCAUCACCCCUUAGACUGCUUGACUCCUACCAAAAAGGGUUUACCUGCAUGCGACCGGCCGGUGCUGCAGGUUUAAGGCUGUUUAAUCUACUGCAAAUUGCAUCCUUGUCUCUUUCCAUACAUGUGAUUACCAUCUUUGGAGCCACUGAUAAGGAGACGAUCCAUACCAGGCUGUCCACUUUCCAUUUGAGCCCAGCGGUUUGCUAUACACUACAGGCGUUGUGUGGUCCCCUGUAAUUAAGGGACCAAUUUGUUCUGGUAAGCAGAUUCGUAUGCUUUUUGGUGGAGGGCACUAUUGGAAUAUCACCUAUCAACACAUGUCACAAUGUUUUGUCUAAGUUCACAAUAAGUAGGAUCCUUUCAUUCGGAUCGAUGAGGUUUUGGAUUUCCCCCUUCCUUUUCUUUGAGGACUUCAGAAUGUUUGGACACUUUUUCUUUUUUGUUCUUUUGUCAAUUUUAUGCUAGCCCUAUCCGCCAGGAGAACCAUGGGCCUUUGCCACUUAUGAGGACACAUAUAUUAUACACACAUAUUCACAGUUUGUGUAUCAGUGCAUUAGUGUUUUCUAUAUAUUUAUUUUGUUUAUUAAGUUAGUAGCGCGUUUUUUUUCUUUUUUCCAAGUUGUCCACCUAAACUUAAAACUAUUUUGUAAACUAAUUUGCACAGGGCCCGUUAGGGCCACCCCCAUUGCCUCCGAUUUUGCUAUAAUUUAUUAAAAAAUUUGACAGGGCUCCAUAUCGUUCAACUUCCUUCAUAAGAUUUGGUAAUGAUAUUUGUGGGCUGGUGAGUGGAAAACAUAAGCAGUGACUUUAUAAUCCUGUUCUCCCAGGCAUAUACCCAUGAUAUUAGGAUUCUGUUAAAUUCUAUUUAAUAGGGGCUCCAACGUUAAAGCCAACAAAAGAGGCAAAAGGGGACAGCCCUGGCGGCUCCCAUUUGUAAUUGAAAAGUUUUCUGAGUGUACCACAUUGUCCUUAAUCAGGGCUUGAGUUGAGUUGCACCCGACAGAGACCCUAAUCGUGACUGGCACAUGGUCUGACCAGGUUAUAUUUCCUAUUGAGAUAUCCUGUACGAUACAAAGUAACUGUUGUGGUACUAGGAAAAGAUCAAUUCGGGAAUAUAAUUGAUGGGGAUUGGAGAAGUAGGUGUAGUCCAUCUGCUCUGCGUGAGAGGCCCGCCAAGCAUCUAUCAAUUGGAAUUCAUGAAACUUCCGGAGGGUCCGCUUCCUUGUUCCACUAGGGACCAAGGAGGUUCCAACGGCGGUAUCUAUUUUAGGGUCUAGGGAGACAUUGAUGUCCCCCCUAGAAUCAAUUUUCCCAACCUGAAUUCCAUUAACUUUGAUAUAACUUUAUCCAAGAAACUAUCUUGAUGUACGUUCGGGGCAUAGAUGGUAGCUAGGGUAGCCUUUACACUACCUAUAAAUUCUUUGAGGAAUAGAUAUCUUCCCCCUGGGUCCAGACUUUUGUCCAACAGAGACCAUGCGAUUUGAUUAGGGAUUAGAAUGGCAACUCCUUUUAGUUUUAGCCCCUUGGUUAGAGGUGUGGUAUACGUUGGGGAAAUAUCUAUUCUGAAGGUUGGGAAAUGCUCCCUUCUUCAAAUGGGUUUCCUGCACCAAUUCUAGGUCCAUGUUAAAGCAUUUUAGGUCAUUCAAUAACAUCUUACGUUUUUUGGGGAUAUUAAGUCCUCUAGCAUUUGGUGAUGUCACGGGUAGUCCCUCCAUCCUCUCUGGACCGGGGGGGGGGAGCAACUCAAACCCAUAGGUGCUGAAUAUGGGGGUGGCUAACUAUGGCCGAAGUGGCAAAACAUCUUACCCUAUUCCUUCAGCUAUUUUCUUGCGUAAUUUUUUCCCCUCUGAUGCAGCAUGUUUAUUUUCCUAUAUCCCUCCCCGCACCCCUCCUCCCCCUCCAUCCAGGCUAUAUAGCCCAUUUACAGGCAAUAGAUCUCCACUCUCCAGCUGUAUGUUUUCAACCACAUAAUAACAGUAUCGACUCUAGAAUUCGAGAUUUUGACCCCCGCUGUCAUUCUGUCAUUUUCAGACACUUGACAGGGCGUCAUGUCACAUUGAAAUAAGAAAAAAAAGUUUUUUUUUCUGUCUUGAGGCGAAGAAAAAUAUAGUGACACAUUAUUCCUCCAUGGCUCCCUAUAUCCCCCAUCCCGUUUCCUCUAAGCAAUUCUUCCCCCUUCUCCUCUCCUACUUAAAGUACUCCCCUUCCCCCCAAAUAAAAACUUAACGAUGGAGUUCAAUGAAUGGGCAAUGCCCCCAUACGCUUCUACUCCCGCUUCGAUCCACAACCUCCCUCAGCGCUCCAGCGAUUUAUGUGUACAUUGUGUAUUUUUACUGUAUUUGUGAUACUUCCCUGUUCCUUUAUCUCUGAACUGUCUCUGAAAAAGAAAAAAGGAAGGCCCCCCAAAAAAGGGGUAUGAUGGGAGGGCCCGUGGAACCCAGAAUCCCUUGGAAAGUAUGGGAUACCCUUGUUUAAGCUCCCUAUGCACCUCUUGUGUCUAAGUCACCCUGUGCUAUCCUGGCAUAGGGUGACUGAGAAAAUAUAUCUUGGAUUACUUAAAAUGGGACUAUAUGUAUCCACAAUAUCUCCCAGGAUAUAUGUAAAGACUAUUCUUGGUUUGUUUGAUUCUGACCUCAACUCCUGUUGAUUGAGAGUUGAUCACAUUGAACUUGUAUUCCUUUCAAUAAAAUCUGAUUCCUGCUUGACCCUCAA